rnacentral:rRNA from 1 species
UAGGGAAUCUUCCGCAAUGGACGAAAGUCUGACGGAGCAACGCCGCGUGAGUGAAGAAGGAUUUCGGUUCGUAAAACUCUGUUGUUAGGGAAGAAAAAAUGUAUAGUAACUAUAUACAAAAGAGACGGUACCUAACCAGAAAGCCACGGCUAACUACGUGCCAGCAGCCGCGGUAAUACGUAGGUGGCAAGCGUUGUCCGGAAUUAUUGGGCGUAAAGCGCGCGCAGGUGGUUUAGAAAGUCUGAUGUGAAAGCCCACGGCUCAACCGUGGAGGGUCAUUGGAAACUAGUAAACUUGAGUGCAGGAGAGGAAAGUGGAAUUCCUAGUGUAGCGGUGAAAUGCGUAGAGAUUAGGAGGAACACCGGUGGCGAAAGCGGCUUUUUGGCCUGCAACUGACACUGAGGCGCGAAAGCGUGGGGAGCAAACAGG